UUAAACCUCAAAACCAUGAGCCCAAAUAGACUUUUCCUCCUCUGCGUUGUCCUUGUUCAUGGUGAAACAAAGAUGAGUGUACAAACAAGCCCACCUGGCUCCUCCUCAAGGUCGUCAUCGUCUCUGGCCUCAACUCUGUGUCAGCCCUUAGUGCAUCUCCGCUGUGGCCUCAUGCAGGUCAUUCUGCACUGGGUCGCCACAGUGAUCGGCAUGUAAGUGUUGACGUUGCUUCCCCACCUAAAACCUUCCAGCAACUUCCAUUGCACCACACCUACAACUGAAAUCCCUUCCUAUGGCAACGGACUGUCCUGAUGGAACCCUGGCCUCCUUCACCAGUGUCAUAUGGGGCUACAGUCCCCCAAACACUGGAGUCAGCCCUAGGACCUUUACAACACCCGACAUGCUAAGCUUCUCAGCCUCAGGACUUUGGGACUCACUCAUCCUGUUAUACCCACCUGUCCACCUGACCAGCUUCUUCUCAUGCUCCAGUGUCUGUUGAAGGCUCAUUUCCCCAGAGGUGCCUCCCCUGACCACCCCAUCUCAAACGCAGCCCGUCUCACUAAUUCCUGUCUUCCCACUGCCCAGUCAAUGUCUUCCUAGCCGUCAGUGCUACCUGACAUUGUCUAUGCGCCCCCUUCCUAGUGACCUCUUAUUACCUCAACUAGAGUGGGAGGUCCUCAGGACAUUCCUGUUGAAUAGAUAUCUUCAGGGGAAUAAAGGACCUUUAUUUUGAUCUUACGGCAAAUGUAAAGAAAAGUCGCACAGAUGUGUGCAAAUCUUACUGUACAUCUCCAUGGAUUAGAUAAAGAAGAUUUCUUUCUGUUCCCUAUUUUCCCUACCCCAGUAUCUCCUCUUACCUUUAAGGAGUAAGGUUUUGACAUUGUUGAUGGAACUUACUAGGUUCUUCUCACAUCUUUAUCUUAGCUCAUGAGCCCUCCCCUAGAUGCACCUUGUCUGCUUUUUGUAGAAGGAACUUUCCUAUCUCGUUCCCCACUGCAGAGUGCUCUGCUGCUGAGUUGCAGAAACAUUUUAGCUCACAGAUGUCCACUUUUUAAACAGUGCUGUCUCUGCUUCUUUGAAAAAUGCCAGCCAUUUAAUCAUGCCUUCUGCUUCAAGUUCACCGUGACGAUGGCUAAUAAGCUUGGGAUUGUUCUGUCUCCAUCGCUCUGUGCUGGGAGAGCCUCUGUGGGCUCAUGUAAGCCAAACAAAGACUUCUCGCUAUUCCUUGACUUUUCUCUUUCAUCUCUCCAGUCUUUUUACCUGGCUCUGAUUAGUGCAUCUGGAAUUUGAAGACCAAAUGCAACAGAGACACACAGAGAGUCACAGAGCUGGCAUAGACCACCAGAGGUGGGCUGAUAUUUUCUCUUGGAAGAUAAACUCAAAGAAAGAAAAAAAAUGGAUUUUAUCAUCUACCAUGGUCCAUAGUAAACACAGAAAACCGCCCUCUGCUCAGUGGGCAGCUCAUUCACAUUCAUUCACUUUUCCAACAAAUACAAAGUCCCUAAUCAGCGUCAGCGCUGCCCAGGUGCUACUCACCUGUGUGGCCCAGCAUGCAGAGUUGAAUAGCUAUUCUUUUCUAUAUGCUUAUUUCAUGCUUUUAGAAAUAAAAUCAUCAUCUUGAGUGUAGCAGAAGUGGUCAGAAUCAAAAUGUAAUCGGUUAUGUCAACUUUAACAACAAUAACCAAAAACAACUAAGUCGGAGAGAUUACAAAGGAAGGAUUUUUACUCAUGGCUACCUUUUAGCUACUACCACAAAGGACUGUGAGAGCACCACCUUGCACAGAGCCCACUGCGACCUUAUACAAAGAGCACUUGUAUGAAGACAGCUGCCAGGCAAUAUCUGCUCAACCCUGGACGGAGGCUACUCUUGCUAUUGGUCAUCAUGGCCCAACCUUAUUAUUGCAAAAUAUCUGAUGCAAUCAUCCUAUUUCUAUAUUUUUUAUUUGGCUAGGGUCUCCUUAUGUUGCCCAAUCUAGCUUUGAACUCAAGAUACUUCUGCCUCAGCAAUCCAAGCAUCAUCCUUUUCUUUAAAAAAUCUUCCCCUUGUCACCGGGUAUCAAGGUGCACACCUGUAAUCCCUCCCAGCUACUCAGGAGGCUGAAGCAGGAGGAUCAUAAAUUAGAGGCCAGCCUGGGCAACUUAGCAAGAUCAUGUCUGAAAGUAAAAAUAAACUGAGCUGGGGAUUUAGCUCAGGGAUAAAGUGUAGCUGGGUUAGAUCCCUGAUACCAUGAAAAACAAAGCAAAGUAAAACAGAACCAAACGAAAACAAAACUUCCCCUUGCCUCAGCCUCUUGAAUACACUCAUGGUUUCCUAGGGUGUGUGUGAAUCUCUGCUUCAUUCACUGCAAAAAGAUUUCCAAAUAAACAUUAGUUUUUGGAGAAUCUAUUUCUAUUUAUUUAUUUAUUUUAAUUUAGGUCAAUAGUGUGAUAGACUGAGAAAAGUCCACCAAUUCCUGUCUUCCUUUUUCCUUUGGCUGUAGACUCCCAGAGUCCCUGUGGACACGUGAUGAUUCUCAGCCUCCACCGUUAGCGUAGCUGUGUGAGUAGGGCCUCAAGAAGUGAGCAGAGCCUUGUGCAUGACACAGAAAGUCGCUAAAAGCAGAGUGUGGGGUGUGCCCCUCCUCCUUUCCUCUCCUUUCUUGCUGAAUGAAGAAAUGCAGACGUGGUAGUCAGUGCUGAGAAGGCAUUCGGACCAUGGGUGGAAGUGAGGUGCACGAGAUAAUAGAAAACCAAGACUUCUAACAGGUUUUUUUGAAGACAGACAUCAGAUGAUACCAUGUGUGGUGGUUAAUCUGAAUCGUCAACUUGAUUGAAGAGUAAAAGGCUCCUGGCUGGGUCCGUGAGGACGUUUCUGGGAAUGAUUGGCAGGUGGGAUGGCAGACUGAGGGGAAACCCACCUUAAAUGUGGGCAGCACUGUCCACGGUUCCAUAGGUCAGGGGCCUGGAUGGAAGAAGAAGCUGGAAGAACAGGAAAGGUGAUGCAGAUCCGAGCUCCGUUCUUCCUGAGAAGGUGCUUUGAUUCUGCCAGGGUCCCCCAAGGUCAUCCCCAAGGUCAUCACACUCCAGCUCCUUCACCCUUCCAAGGUGACUUCUGACGGGUGACUGUCCGGGGGAUUCCAGGCCUUUGACCCUGGACUGGGGCUGCAUCAUCGGUCUCUCUCCUUCUGAGGCUGCAGCUUGUGGGACGACGCAGCUCUCCAGCCUGCUAACGUCCACUGUAGGACUAUCCAGAUUCCAGUCGUUGAAGCCAAUUGAAUACAUCCCCUUUUUAUAACCAGACCUACCUGUAUAGACUGCUGGCUCUGUUCGUCCAGAGAACUGUUUUAGUCAGAUUUCCUGCUGCUGUGACCACAACAUCUGACCACAAUGAUUUUAGAGGAGGGACUGUUUACUUGGGGCCCAUGGCUCCAGAGACCUCAAUCCAUAGACAGCUGGCUCCAUUCCUCUGGGCUCAAGAGGAGGCAGAACAUCAUGGCGGAGGAGUGUAGCGGAGGGAAGUGGCUCACAUGAUGAUCAGCAGGAGAGAGAGAGAGAGAGAGAGAGAGAGAUCUCCACUGGCCAGAUACAAAAUAUGUACCCCAAAAGCACGCCCCGCCUCCUCCAGCCACACCCUACCUGCCUUCAGGAACCACUCAGUUAAUCUCUAUUAGGGGAUUAAUUCACUGAUUGGAUCAAGGCCGUCAUAAUCCAAUCAUGGGGGACACCUCACAUCCAGAUGAUGAUGAUGACUGAUCUAGAAGGGGCGACAGUUUCUGACCCAUGGUGCCUAUAGAGAGUGGUUUUCUUGGGAGGAGAGUGCUCAUCCCUGCAGAGUCAAGACGCACUCAGGAAUUGGAUGCACCACAUACAGGGGGGCUGCGCUGACGGGAUCGUGUCUGUAUUCUGAGCAGUCAGCCUCCUAGGGCGCCUCACCACCCUCCUCAGUCAGGCAUGUGAUUCCUCCAAAUUCUCCUCCUCCUACUUCCAGGGAUGAGUCAAGAGUGUUGUUCUUUGGAGAAACUAAGCAGGAAAGAAAUGCUGGAUGUGGGGAAACCAAAUGAAUUGCAGCAUGGAGCAGAAGAUAUGUGAAAAUCAAGGAAAUGUCUAUAAGAGAAACAAUUGGGCGUAAGACUUUUUUCUCUCUUUUUCUUUCUCAGAAGACCCUUGGCAGAGUGUGCAUGACAGGUUGUGUCUUCUAGGUCAUCUGUAAGAGACACAUUUGGUUGCAUAGAAACAAGCAGGUUGAUAAUAAAAGGAUGGUAUGAUAUCUACCUGGCAGAGAGAAGCGAAAAAGAACUAUGUUGGCUCUGCUAAUAUCAGACAAAUAGAUUUUGAACAAAGAAAUAUCGCCAGAGAAGAGAGGGCCAUUUCAUAAUAAUAAAAGGGUAAAUAUAUCAGAAAGAUGUAGUGGGUGUAAGUGCACCCAACAGCAGGCUCUCAAAACACAGUAAUUAAGAACUGAUAAAACCAAGAGGAGAAAGAGACAUUUGGACAAUUGUAAUUGAAGGCUUUCUCAGUAAUCGAUAAAACAAUAUUCAGAAAGUCAGGAAGGGUAUAGAAGACCUGAACGAUACUAUCAACCACUGGAACUAAUUGACAUAAAGAAGUACCCUUCUAUCCUUGACUUCACAUUCCAUGGCUUCAGAUACCCACAGUCAACUAUUCGAUGAAAGAACAUUCCUUGCAAUUUCCAGCAUCUGGUGGCGGGCAGCCUUCCUUGGCUUCUGGUUACACUGGCUGGCCUUCAACUUUAUAUCACCUUCUCUUCUCCCUCUGCCAUUCUCUUAGAAGAACAUCCAUACUGCAUUUUCCAGAAUAAUCCCAAGAUCCUUCAUGUAAUCACAUCUGUGAAGAGCAUAUUAUGUAAGUCAGUUUUCUGUUGCUGUGACAAAUACCUAAGAUAAAUGAACUUAAAGAGAGAAAAGGUUUAUUUUGGUUUGUGAUUCCAGUCCACAGUCGCUUGGCCCUGUUACUUUGGGCCUGUACACAGUAUAUCACAGCAGAAGCUUCUGGAAAAGGAGACUGUUCACCUCAUGGAGGCCAGAAAGCAAAUAGAGGGAGGAGGUGGGAGUCUAGUAUCCCCUUCAAGGACAUGUCCCUAGUGACCUCCACUUCCGCCCACUAGGACCCACCUCCUAAGUAUUUCCCAAUAGUGCCAUGGAUGGGCCACCAAGUCUUCAGCAUGUAGGUCUUUGGGGGACCCUUAUCAAAUCAUGGCACAUACAGUAUGCUAUUUAUAGGUCCCAAGGAUUGGGACAUGAACAUCCUUUGGGAGAUAAUUGUUUUUUAGUGUAUUAUACAAGUGCCCAUAAACUUUAAAAGGUUAAAGUAAUACAAAGUGUGUUCUAUGACUAAAACAGUAUAAAUUAGCAAUCAACUAGAUAAAUAAAUAUGGAAAUUUAUCACAUAUUUGGAAACCAAACCACAAGCUUCUUAAUAUUCAUAAAUCAAAGAAAUCACCCACAAAAUUAAAAAUGUCUCAAACUGAAAAGGAAAGCCCAACUUUUCAAAACUUAGAGGAUGCAGAAAAAAGACAUCUUAGAGAAAUAAAAAUGAAUAUGUUUAAACUCCUGUAUUUGAAAAGAAAAAGGUUCUAAAAAAAGGAUUGCUUAAGCUUUCUCAUCAAGAAGCUCUAAAAAGAAGAGUGAAUUAAAACAAGAGUAAAGAGAAGGAAGGAAAUAAUAAAAAUCAAGGCAAAAAUCAAGGAAAGAAACGAAAGAUCAUGACAGAAAAUCAAACAACAAAAAUGUGUGUUGGAAAGAUCAACAAAGUACAUACACUUAGGGAAACUGAUUAAGAAAAAAAAGAAGGGAAGACACCAAUUGCAAACUUUUGAAUGUAUUUAUUCUUUCUAGUUGUUUUUUUUUUCUCUUCUUUUUUUUUUCAGGGGGGUGGGUUAGGGAAAGAAUUUCUACACAGGCCAUCAUACUACCUGCCAUUAGAACAGCUUUCCAGACUUAUUUUGUUGCCUAGAACUUCAUAAUUAUCAUACUGAAUAGAAGGGAUGGGAUACGACAUUCUUGCUCUGCUCUGUCUUAGGGAAAAGUAGUCAGCUUUUUACCAGUAAAUACGAUAUUAGUGUUAGGGUUUUUGCUCAUGUCUCUAUCAAGUUGAGGAAGUUCCCCUUUAUUCCUAGUUUCCUAAGAAUUUUUAUCAUGAUUGGUUGUUGAAUUAGGUAAAAAUAUUUUCCAACAUCAAUUGACAUAGUCCUAUGAUUUUUCUUCUUUAGCUUGUUCACAUGGUGGAUUGCACUGAUUGCUUUUCAAAUAUUGAGCCAGACUGGCGUAUCUGGAAUAAAUCUCAGAUGAGCUCUGCCUGCUGGUACUUGAGAAUUUUUUGUCUGUUUAUGAGGGAUAGAGCUCUGUAGUUUUCUCUUUCCUUGAACUGUCUUUGUUUAGUUUUGGUAUCAGGGCAAUACUGUCUUCGUGGAAUAAAGUGAGAACUAUUUCCUCUUCUAUUUUCUGGAACAUGUUGUAUAGAAUGGGCUUAUGCAAUGUUUGGUUGAAUGUUCUCCAGAAAAAAAACAACUAGUGCUGGAGACUCUUUUUCCAGGAGAUUUUAAAUGAUCAACUUCCUCUGAAAUGAUAAAGCUUAUCAGAUUAUCUUCUUUGUACUCAGUGAGCUGUAGUGCUUUGUACUUUUCAAGGUCCUUUCACAUAAGUUGCCAAUAUUAUACAUGUAGUUAUCAGGGGUUUUUGUUUUGUUUUGUUUUUUUACAUAGUCAUUCUCUUCCGAAGCCCACAGUUUGUAUGGCGCUAUUCCCAAUCCUGAUAUUAGCAACUUCUAAACUUCUCUCAUCUAUUUUAUCAGUCUUGCAAGAAGUUGUCAAUUUUAUCAAAUCUUUUCCAAGAACUAAUUUUUAUUCCUAGUGUUUUCCUACUUUUAAAUUUGGUUUCUACUCUUUUCUAAUAUUUUAUUCUGUUGGCUUUGGAUUUGUUUUUCUUUGUCUGGAGUCUUCACUAAGGAACUUGGUUAUUGAUUUCUAACGUAAACUUUUAGCAUUUUACAUUUCUCUCUUGGCACCAUGUGAUUCCAUCCAACCUGUUGUGAAAUGUUUUAUUUUCAUUUUCGUUCACUUUUUAUUGCCUGGAGACUCCUCUUUGACCUAUGGCUUACGUAGAAGUGUGUCAUUUAAUUUCCAUGCAUUUAGAGAUUUUUCCUGUUUUCUUUCUUUUUUUUUUAAUUUCUACUUUGAUUCCAUUAUAGGAAGAGGAAAUACUCUGUAUGAUUAUAAUUAUUUUGGAUUUGUUGAGACUUGUUUUGUAGUUCAGGAUGUGGUCUUGGUGAACGGUCUAUAGACAUCUGAAAAUCAGAAAAGCAUGCAUUCUGCUGUAGUCGGGUGAGUAGUCUGUAUGUGUCAAUCAGAUCCUAUGGCUGAUAUCAUUCUAUAUUCUUCCUGGUUGUUUUCUCUAGAAGUGCCAUCAGCUGUUGGUAAGAAGGAAAUGCGGAAGUCUCCAAGUGCAAGGUUUUUACUUGUUUCUUUCAUCUUCAGUUCCAUUGGUUUUUGCAUCAUACAUUUUGAGGCCAUAUUGUUUGGUGGUAUACUUUGGAUCUGUAAUGAGCCCCACCCCUAAAAGCUCACAAUUUGAAAGCAUGUUCUUGUUACAGCAAGAUUCUGAAGUGGGACUUUUAGACAAUGAUUGGAUCAUGGGAGCUCUGAAUCCAUCAUUUAAUUAAUUAAUCAAUCCAUUAAUAGCUUAGUGGUGGUAACUGUAGGCAAAGGAGGCAUGGCUGGAGGAAUAGGUCACUGGGGGCAUGCCCUUGGGGACUAUAUCUGUCCCUGGUCCCUUCCUGUUACACUCUCUCACUGUCUCUCUCUGCUUUCUGGCUGCCAUAGGCUGAAAAUAUCUCCUCUCCACCAUAAUGUUUCUGCCUUGGGUUCUGCUGACCGUGAACUGAACUUUGAAACCAUGGUCCCAAAUAAACCUUUUCUCCUCUAAGUUGUUCUCAUCGGGUGUUUCGGUCACAGUGAGACACGACUGACUAAUGUAUUUGGUGGGUAUUGUUAUAUAAUUUUCCUCUACAUCUCUAGAAAUUCAAUCUGAUAUUCAUAUAACCCCUUGUGUCUUUAAAAAUGUGAACGUGAGAUGUCAUUUUUCUUCCACUGACUUUAAACCUCCUAUAUUAAGCACGAGAUGAAUAUUACGUAAAUAGACGUGAUUUUGCACCUCCAGUGAGUGUGCACACCUCACCUUCUUUCAAGUCCCCUUGUUUUCCCAUCUAAGUUGGAUGGUCUAGACUAUCAAAUGGUAUUAUAAUUCUGUUUCCAUCAUCAAUACGAUUUAUAACACUGAAGAGGAGUCGACUCUCUUUUAUGUGCCGAUUUUCUCCUGGUCUUUCUUCCUUUCUGAUCCUCCAGGUUCCUCAUUUUACCAUCGCCUUUCUGUGUGAGAACUUCCACUAGCCUUCUUAAGGGUGGCCUCCUGGUUGGUUCACCUGACUGACGCGUGGGACUCCCACUCAGUUCGGAGAAGAAGUUAGUCUGUCCAGGCUGCCCUGGGUUACGAGGCUGGGGUUGGGGGAUCCCAGGCCUGGGUUAUUGUUUUAGUCAACAUUUUUGCUGCUGUGACUUAAAGACCCAACCAGAACAAUUGUAGAGGAGAAAAAAAUCAUUUGAGGGCUCAUUGUUUCAGAGGUCUUAGUCCAUAGAAGGCUGGCCCCAUUCCUUGAGGCUCAAGGUGAGGCAGAGCAUCAUGGCGGGAGGGUGUGGCGGAGGGAACCAGCUCACAUGGUGAUCAGGAAGCAGAGAGGGAAGUCUCCACGUGUUUGUUUAUGUUUUGUUUCAUUUUUUAAAGUACUAGCUAUUGAACCCAGGGGUGCUCCACAUCCUUAGCCAUAUAUAUAUAUAAUUUUGAGGUGGGUCUCACUAAGUGACCCAAGUUGGCUCCAAACAUGUGAUCCUCCUGCCUCAGCCUCCGGAAUGACAUGAGUAGGUUCCACCACCUUUCUAUCUGGAAAUAAAUGGCUCUCUUUUAAGCCCCUUUAGCAGAUUUCUUUUUGUGUCUCAUUAGCCAGACCUGUGCCACGUGAUACCCUUAGGCCUCAGAAAGUCUAGAAAAGGACAGGGUCAGGUUCAUUGCUACCCAUAGCCAAAUCGGAUUCAAAGUAGAAAGACAGAAGCAUAGAAGGACCCUUGGGUGGGCAACUACUCAAGUACUGCACGCCUUUGCCUGUUGUUCUACUGGGUUCUUUGCGUUUCCUUCUUCAGCAUUUCUCUACCUAUUCAGAUUCUAACAUACUGUAAGUUCAGCACAUGAAGUUGUCUUCUCUAAGUGAAAGGUUCCUUUUGUGUUUUAUUUGGUAACAUUUUUUCCGUUAGUUUUUACGUUGUAGAUCCAAAAACCAAGCAGACAACUCUCCUUUGGUGGGGAUUGCUUGUUUUUUUUCACAGAAACCCCACAUUUCACGUGAUAUGGAGCUGAUCCUCCAGAGAAGCUGCAUGCUCGUUUCCUGAGGCCAGUUCUUGUCCCAGGACAGAGUUGUGAGUGUUUGCCCAUGUGGAGUCUCCUGGCCUGAGUGUAGCAUAAACUCCUCUCCAUGUGGCUCUGGGUUGAUGUUCUAAUGCCUAAUGAAAGAUAUCUUUCUAUCCAGAUAGUGAUUGGAAGAAGCCUCUUGGUCAUUACCUUGGCCAGUGGUAUGAUUCUUUUUUACUCUGUCUUAACAGAGAGUCUAAACUUCUCAAAAUCCCCAAUUUAUGCCAAGAUCUAAGCUUUGGGCCCAAAGCCUCAUUUCUUGUCUUUGACUGUUUGAACUCUAACUUGAUCUGAUACCAUUUUUUUUCCCCGCAAGAUGCUAUAGCCAGACCUUGCAUGGAAACGCUCCAGAUCUCCUUUCAAUCUUUGUUUCUGACAUUUUCUUUCCUGUGAGAUAAAGUGUACAUUUAAACACUUUUAUUUUUGCUCAGUUCUAUUCAGCAUUCUCAUAUUUGAAAUGGGAAAAAGGUUUCAUAUGUCUUCAGGCAUCACACUCAUGGAAGAGGAAGCCCCCUGAAUGUUUUAAUGGCUGUCCUAGCACAACUGGAUGCCUGUGAACACCACUAAGAGAUGUGGCCACUUCACAUCAAGGGAUGAUUUAAUUUGGAGUCUCCAAAUACUUUCUAUAGUUGUACACAGAGAUGAUAUUUUUCUACUGAAAUGAAAAUUAAUAGUGGCACAAUGUUCAAGAUUAAGCUUUGAACAUGAUAUCAUUGUUCAACAAAGAUGAUGGAUUAAAAUGAAGGGAUGAAGGGGAGAAUUUUUGCUCAGAUGCCUUAAUAUUCCUCCUAUGUUCCUUUUUUUUUGGGGGGGGGGUACCAGCAAUUGAACUGGAAGUGUUCAACCACUGAGCCACAUCCCCAACCCUUUACUUAUUUUUAUUUUUUUAAAAUUCUAAUUUGUUAUAUAUGACAGCAGAAUAUAUUACAAUUCAUAUUUCACAUAUAGAGCACAAUUUUUCAUAUUACUGGUUGUACACAAAGUAUAUUCACAGCAUUCAUGUCUUCAUACAUGUACUUAGGGUAAUGAUGUCCAUCUCAUUCCACCAUCUUUCCUGCCCCCAUGCCCCCUCCCUUCCCAUCCCACCCCUUUUCCCUAUCUGGAGUUUGUCUAACCCUCCCAUGCUCCACCGGCAACCCAUUAUGAAUCAGCCUCCUUAUAUCAUAGAAAACAUUUGGCAUUUGGUGUUUUGGGAUUGGCUAACUUUACUCAGCAUUAUAUUCUCCAACUCCAUCCAUUUACAUGUGAAUGCCAUGAUUUUAUUCUCUUUUAAUGCUGAACAACAUUUGAUUGUGUGUGUGUGUGUGUGUAAUUUUCUUUUACCAUUCAUCUACUAAAGGGCAUCUGGGUUGGUUCCACAAUUUAGCUAUUGUGAAUUGUGCUGCUAUGAACAUUGAUGUGGCUGUGUCUCUGUAGUAUGCUGUUUUUAAGUCCUUUGGGUAUAGAUCCAGGAGUGGGAUAGAUGGGUCAAAUGGUGGUUCCAUUCCCAGUUUUCCAAGGAAUCUCCAUACUGCUUUCCAGAUUGGCUGCACCCAUUUGCAGUCCCACCAGCAGUGUAUGAGUGUGCCUUUCCCCCCACAUCUUCACCAACACUUAAUGUUGUUUGUAUUCUUGAUAGCUGCCAUUCUGACUGGAGUGAGAUGAAAUCUUAGUAGUUUUGAUUUGCAUUUCUCUAAUUGCUAGAGAUGUUGAACAUUUUUUUCAUAUAUUUGUUGAUUGAUUGUAUAUCAUCUUCUGAUAAGUGUUUGUUCUGUUCCUUGGCCCAUUUUUUGAUUGGGUUAUUUGUUGGAUUUUUUUUUUGGUGUUUAUAUUUUUUAGUUCUUUAUAUAUCCUAGAGAUUAGUGCUCUAUCUUAUGUGCGUGUGGUAAAAAUUUGCUCCCCAAAUGUAGGCUCUCUAUUCACCUCACUGCUUGUGUCUUUUGCUGAGAAGAAGUUUUUUAGUUUGAAUUCAUUCCAUUUAUUGAUUCUUGAUUUUAAUUCUUGUGCUUAUUAAGGAAGUUGGAGCCUAAUCCAACAUGAUGGAGAUUUGGGCCUACUUUUUCUUCCAUUAUACACAGUGUCUCUGGUUUAAUUUCUAGGUCCUGGAUUCACUUUGAGUUGAGCUUUGUGCAUGGUGAGAGAUAGGGAUUUAAUUUUAUUCUGUUGUAUAUCGAUUUCCAGUUUUCCCAAUACCAUUUCUUAAAGAAGCUUUCUUUUCUCCAAUGUAUGUUUUUUCCAGCCCUUUAUUUUUGAAACAGCAUUUUGCUAAGUUGUUUAGAGCCUCACUAAGUUGCUGAGGCUGGCUUUGAACUAACAAUCCUCCUGCCUCAGCCUCCCCAGCUCCUGGGAUUAUAGUCAUGUGCUGCUACACCCAGCUUUCCUCCUAGUUCUGCUACAUACAUGAGUAGCCUAGGCAAGGACGGGAGGAGGAAGGGACACCAACUUGGAGAUUGAAUUACGUAGCUCUUACAAGAGGAGGGUUUAGAUAAAAGACAUUUGCUUAGGAUCACUGAAAAGAUUAUAUCAGAUUCAUAUAUUUGAGUUCUCUCGAUAAUUUUUAAAGCAAUAGGGAAGAGUUAAAUCAAACAUCAAUUAUCUACAUUUCAAAUAUCUGUUUAUAUUGCAGGAGGAGUUCAAACAGACUCAUUGAAUGACCUGGAUGCUUUGAAUAUAAAUUGAAGAAAUGACGUUGUGAUUCCUCAGUCUGAAGAAAUACAAUUAUCAUCGCUACUAGCCUUGAAUUAAGCAUUUCUUUAUAGAUGAAUACACUCUUUGAAAUAGAAGAAUCUUCUGUGAAUCAUUUAAUCCCCUCUCCACAAAGAGGCACUCUUUGCAUAAAUAAUUUUGAGCAUUCAGGCUGGCUAUCUUCUGCAGUGCUGUUGCCUCCAAUAAAUCCUUCCUGCAUUGGAUGUAUCUGGUUCUAAAUUCAUCCCAGGGAAAAACAGUAGGAAAGAGCCACACAUUUUUCUUGGGUAUUCCUGUCUGGAAAAUUGAAUGAAGGUCCCCCUGUUGCUCACCUGCCUUUCUCUUUUAUUAUCUUG
rnacentral:lncRNA from 1 species